AGAAUCAACGCUGGCGGCGUGCCUAACACAUGCAAGUCGCACGAGGAAAGGGAGCAAUCCCUGAGUACAGUGGCGCACGGGUGAGUAACACGUGAAUAAUCUACCUCCGAGUGGGGAAUAACUGAGAGAAAUCUUAGCUAAUACCGCAUAACACUUACGAGUCAAAGCAGCAAUGCGCUUGGAGAGGAGUUCGCGGCCGAUUAGUUAGUUGGCGGGGUAAUGGCCCACCAAGACGAUGAUCGGUA
rnacentral:rRNA from 1 species